ACACUAACUGGAGGACCGAACCGACUAAUGUUGAAAAAUUAGCGGAUGACCUGUGGCUGGGGGUGAAAGGCCAAUCAAACCGGGAGAUAGCUGGUUCUCCCCGAAAGCUAUUUAGGUAGCGCCUCGUGAACUCAUCUUCGGGGGUAGAGCACUGUUUCGGCUAGGGGGCCAUCCCGGCUUACCAACCCGAUGCAAACUACGAAUACCGAAGAAUGUUAUCACGGGAGACACACGGCGGGUGCUAACGUCCGUCGUGAAGAG
rnacentral:rRNA from 1 species